AUUCGUCCUCGCUCUCGCCCAAGACCCCGCAUUGAGAUUGAUAAUUACCCCCUUGGUAAAUAGAGACAGGGUAGAUAUUUGAGAAUUCGGAUAGUGUCAUUCCUAAGUAAGACCCAUGAACUUUGUGCGGAGACAUCUUGUCCUGUUUCAAUUGGUGAUUUUAAUGUUGUUUAUACUCAAGUUCUACCUGGUUUCACACCUCCGGGUUCAUAUUCAUUGAAGAUGAAGAUGUUUGAUGGAAGCAAGAAUGAAGUGACGUACUUGCAUUGAAUUUGGUUUCUAUAUUGGGUUUGUUACUUUGUUUCCACCUACCAUUGCUGAUAUAUAGCUGAGUGAACUUUGGUACAUGUCAUGAAAUCUAUUAUGAUCAGUUCCACAUAAAUUAAACUGCAGAAGACCCCUUAAUAUUUA